rnacentral:rRNA from 1 species
CGAUGGUUGUCCAAGUGGAAGGAUGUAGUUAGGUUUAGUAGGCAAAUCCGCUAGACUAUUAAUGAGAUCUGAUAGCAAGCUGUACUUGUACAGCGAAGUGGCAAAUACCCUGCUUCCAGGAAAAGCUUCUAAGCGAUAGUCAUAAAGAAAUCGUACCCGAAACCGACACAGGUGGUCAGGUAGAGAAUACCAAGGCGCUUGAGAGAACUCUGCUGAAGGAACUAGGCAAAAUGGUACCGUAACUUCGGGAGAAGGUACGCUGCCGAUGGUGAGUAGACAUGCUCUACAAAGCUAUUGGCAGUCGCAGAUACCAGGCCGCUGCAACUGUUUAUUAAAAACACAGCACUCUGCAAACACGAAAGUGGACGUAUAGGGUGUGAUGCCUGCCCGGUGCUGGAAGGUUAAUUGAUGGGGUUAGCGUAAGCGAAGCUCUUGAUCGAAGCCCC